rnacentral:rRNA from 1 species
AGAGUUUGAUCCGUGCUCAGGACGACGCUGGCGGCGUGCCUAACACAUGCAAGUCGAGCGGGGACAUGCGACGGAUCGGAAGUUUUCGGAUGGAAGAGAAGAUGUAUGUUCUAGCGGCGGACGGGUGAGUAACGCGUGAGCAACCUGUCCUUCACGAGGGGAUAACACAGCGAAAGUUGUACUAAUACCGCAUAAGACCACAACGGGACAUCCCGAAGGGGUCAAAGGAGCAAUCCGGUGAAGGGUGGGCUCGCGUCCGAUUAGAUAGUUGGUGAGGUAACGGCCCACCAAGUCGACGAUCGGUAGCCGACCUGAGAGGGUGAUCGGCCACAUUGGGACUGAGACACGGCCCAAACUCC